AACCCCUUCCUUACCUUUAUUAUUCCAUGCCUUCUUCUCACGCCAUAAAGCUCAUAAACCCCACAAUAACACUCUUUCUUCUAAGCCUUCCCAUGCAUAGUGGACCUGUUUAGUCCCAUCAAAAUUUCUCACUUUUUCUUCAUCUCCCAAACACUCCUUUCUAUUCCAUCAUGACCUUACUUUUCUUAGAUACAUUUAUAGAAUUGAAAUUAGUUUCUUCCUUAUCUCUUGAUAAAUUCUUGAACUCUCUAUGUGUUGAAACCAUUUCCUCUAUUUCAAAAUCUUCAAUGUUCUCUUCAAAUCCUCUGUUUUCUUGCAUUGUCACCUUUUGCACCUUGAUUUUCCUAUACUUACCUCAUCAUCUUUUCUCCAAGAUAGUUUUCUCUCCGGUGCUUAUUCUCACCGGGAUUCUCUUGCUCACAAUCCUCCGACUUGGUGCAAAUCAAAAAUAUCAUCAUAAACAAAAGGAAACUCAACAGAAACACGAAUCCAUCAUCACUAAAGAAGAAAACAAAGCAACCAAAUGUGGAGAAGAGAAACAGAAUUCAACAUGUCCAGUUGAACCAAAGGAAAUUGAGUCUCUGGAGCAAGUGCACCAUUCAGAAAGAGAGGUGGAUUCCCAAAAAAGUUUGGAAUCAAGUUCAAGUUUUAUGGAAUGGAACGUGAGAGCACCAUUGGAGAUAAUAUACGAAGGAUAUGAAGAUGAAGAAAAAUUGGAUGAUCCAAAUGAAAAAGAAGAAAACUGGAACAUGGGUAAUUCGAACUAUCCUUCGUUGUCACGUUACUAUCCGGAAUCUGAUUCGGAUAGCUCCUCGGAGGAUGAGUUUCCGGUGAAAGAAUAUUGGGAUUCGCCAGAGGAGUGGGAAGAAGAAGACAGAGAAGGGUUGAUUGAGAUAGCUUUAGAUGGAAGCAAGAUGAUGAAGAGGGAUUUGGAGUUUCAGUACGAAGAAGAGAAUUUGAUUGAGAUUGAUAUUUCUCCGACGAGGUACAAAGAGUUUUCCGUAUGGUGAGUGCUGACUACUUCAAUCUGAUGAUGACUUGUCUCUAUUGGUUACGAGUUUUUAGGAUUAUGAAACCUAGUGACAUAUAUGAAUUUCCAAGUGGAAAGAUAUUUUUGUUAUUGUGGGAUAUAUACAAUUGAAGUUCAUAUUUUCGAUUUGAAUGGUUGUACUCUUCCAAGGAAACAGACAUCACCAUCCCUAGACUUUCAGUUGUUUUCUUGUCUAUUGUUGCAGUAAUUCUAUUGUUCAGUAUAAUGACAUAAAAGAUACUCCUUAGCACUUUUAUUUA